AGAGUUUGAUCCUGGCUCAGAGCGAACGCUGGCGGCAUGCUUAACACAUGCAAGUCGCACGGCCGGGGGUAACCCCGGCAGUGGCGGACGGGUGAGUAACGCGUAGGUAUCUAUCCUUGGGUGGGGGACAACCGUGGGAAACUACGGCUAAUACCGCAUGAUGACCGAGGUCCAAAGGCGCAAGUCGCCCAGGGAGGAGCCUGCGUACGAUUAGCUUGUUGGUGGGGUAAAGGCCUACCAAGGCGACGAUCGUUAGCUGGUCUGAGAGGAUGAUCAGCCACAUUGGGACUGAGACACGGCCCAAACUCCUACGGGAGGCAGCAGUGGGGAAUAUUGGACAAUGGGCGAAAGCCUGAUCCAGCUAAUGCCGCGUGUGUGAAGAAGGUCUUCGGAUUGUAAAGCACUUCGACGGG
rnacentral:rRNA from 1 species